rnacentral:lncRNA from 1 species
GAUGGAUGAGUGGACAGCCUGUCCAGGCAGCCUGAGGGAUGGACAAACUGCUGUGGAACGAGCAAGAGCUUCUCCUGGUUCCUCCACCUCUCCAGGACUGCCCUGGGCACAGCCCUGGCCCCACGGAGCCCACCCCAGCCGCCACCUCUGCCGGGGAGGUUCUGGGCAGGAGGAAGAGGAAGAGGAAGAAUCGUCAGAGGCAGCUGGUGGAGGAAGCAGACCGUGCAGGUCGUGGUUUGGUGCGGCCAGGACAGGGAAAUUCUGGGAAAAGAAAGCACUUCUACAAGUGAGUCACUGCUGCAUCCUUCCUUCCUCCUGGAAGGAGCUGUUCACUUCUGGCUUGUCCCCCUGCGCCACCACGGAACUCUGCAAACACGUAAAUUCUGCGAGGGUCACCAAAACCAUCGGGAUUGCGACACGCUGAUCGCUGCUGGGAGCCGUUCACCUCUCAGGAACGGGAAAUUCCCUGUCGGUGCCGGGCUCCGCCUGCCGGGAAGAGGAGCCCAGGGGACAAAGGGGGUGCCCCGGGUGCUGCUGGCUGUGCCGAGCCCCAGGGCUCUCCCAGGGCAGUGCUGCACACGGGGCACUGGUGCCCUCGGUGUUCCCGUGGGUGCUGUGGGCAGGGGGGCUAAGCCUGGUGUCCCCCGCUCGGUUCAACACCCAAAUUUGUCACCCAGAGGUGCGGCAGGCAGGCGGAGCAUCUCCCGGAGCAUCAGGCAGUGACACUCAGGGAUGCCCCGCACUUCCCGCACUCCAGUUCCCUCCUUGCCAGGGUAGAUCUUUGCCUCCCACAGUUGGAUUUGGGAUGCGAAACACCCAGCGGUGGCACAAGGGUGACAUCCCUGUCCCCGCUGCCUCUUUUGCAUUGGGGUUUGGGGGCAGGCGGCGCUGGUUUCAGUUCAACCUGCCGUGUGCGGAGCGGUGAGACCGGCGGGAAUCCAAAAGUCUUUCCCGAGAAGUCGGGACGCGGGGGCCGUGCCGGACCGGGGGUGAGCGGUGGCACCGCAGCCUCCGGCCGGCCUCCCUCGAGGAACUGCCUCGAAGAACAGAAGAACAUCCCCGUGCACCGCCCGGCCGCUCUCACUACCCCGCUCAUUGGCCCCCGGACACGGCUGCACUUCUCGCUGCCUUCCGCCGUGCCCGGGUGCCUCCUUCGGAGGUGGGGGUGACUCGGGUGCGCUUUAAAAGCCGCGCUUCCCCAUCGCCGAGCGUUAAGGAAGUGCCUUGUGCGCCCCAGCCCCGGGCGGACACCGGGCCCGGCCAUGCGGCGCGACGGGCGGCCCUGGGCGGUGCUGGCAGCUGUCGCCCAAGGGCUCCUCAUCCUCUGGGCAGUGCCGGGCCAGGGGGGCAGGUCCCCGCUGGCCCCCACCGUGCAGCAGACCCAGGCGCUGGUGAGGCUCAUGGCCGAGGACGCGCAGGAGCUCUUCACCUUCUACGAGAAGGAGCAGCACCUGGACAUCCACAACAUGUGCCGCACCAACAAUACCCCCGAGUGGCUGCAGAGACCGGCCAGGGGGCCCUGGGGGCUGCGGAGGCUGCGGAGACCCAUGAUCCACAUGGAGCAGGCGCUGCAGGACAUCAUCCGCCACCAGCGCGACCUCCACCACCCCGAGGCCGAGAUGCUUCGCCGCUUGAGCAGGACCCACCGGAAGGUGCGAGCGCUCCUCAGCAACCUGGCGGGGCUUUUCCCGGCCCCCGGCCUCCGGCCCGGCCGCCGGCCCCUCCCCAGCCCCGCGGCAUCCCUCGGCAUCUUCCGACAGAAGCUGCAGGGCUGCCGGAUCCUCUGGAGCUACUCCCGCUUCAUGGCCGAGCGCAGCGCGGAGCUGGGGGCCGGGAGCCGCCGGACGCGCCGGGAGAAGGGGAGAUCGCAGCGGGGCUCGGGGCUGCCCGCCCGGCCCUAGGCAGCGCCCCGGUACCGGAGCUCCGGUGUGCUUCAUCUCCUUCAUCCCCGUCCGUGGGAAUCCAUCCCAGCCCCAUUCCCGGGAUGGAGAUGCGGCCGGUGGCCGGGAUGCCCCACGGAGCCUCUGUCACCUCCCCUGGGUCGGGCUCGGAUGCACUGAGAGCAUCUCCCGCCGCUCCGGCUCCUGGUGGGGACACGGCUGUCCCCGAGCCACCGCUGGGCUGCAGGACAGCCCUGGCUGCCCCUCCCGCAUCCCGCCCCGCUUUCCCGUGGAUCCAGGUGGGAGCCGGGUGUCCCCCAGCUGCUCCCUGUCCCCGAGUCCUGCCGGAGUUUCCAGUGAUUCAAUGGGUCGGGUGACACAGCCUGACUCACAGCUGCUCGCCCAGCACCCGCCACCGGGCCCACGGCGCUGCCACCGGCGGCUGUCACCGGUGCUGUCACCCCCUGCCUGCCCGCUGCCGGCUCCGCUCCCAGGGAGAAGCUGGGAGGGGAGUCCUGUGUCCCUGCACGUCUGUGUCCCUCUGUGCUCGGUGUCCCCAAGCUCGGUGUUCCUGUGCUCUCAGUGUCCCCAGGCUGCACACUGGGGGUUGCCACAAUCCCAACAUCCCUGUCCCCUCUGUGUCCCCCUGAGCCUCCGAGGCUGUGCCACCACAGCCCUGACCGUGCCCAGCAGGGACUCGGCUCUGUGCCCUGCACUGUGACAGUGGGUGACAGCCCCCACUGCCUCCCCUCUAAUUUAUACAUUAAUAUUUGUGUGUUUAGUGUAUUUAUUGAUUGUUAGGGUUAAUUUAACUCCUGCAGCUCGCAGAAGUAUUUAAGGAUAUUUCUAAUAUAUAAAUAUCUAUUUUUAUUAUAUUUUUUGUACGGCAUUAAACUAUGAACAUCACAAGGAUUUAUUUAUGUAUAUUGAUAUUUUUGGUACACAUAGAAGGGCAGUGCCCCCGCCCAUGUGGCACUUCUUUAUUUUUGUACAAUGGCAGAAGGAAAUAAAGUGCUGACCUUGGCCUAUGGGCCACUGAGACGUCGUGUCCCUGUGUCCCUUUGUCCCUGUGUCUGUCCUGGUGGCUGUGGGCAGGGAGAGGCUGUAUUCUGGUGGCCAGGCUGUGUCUGAUGUCCUUGCCAGGGCACACGGGAUGUGACAUGGGGCGGU